UACGGGGGAUCCAAGCGUUAUCCGGAUUUAUUGGGUUUAAAGGGUGCGUAGGCGGAUUGAUAAGUUAGAGGUGAAAUGUCCGAGCUCAACUCGGGAACUGCCUCUAAUACUGUUGAUCUAGAGAGUAGAUGCGGUAGGCGGAAUGUAUGGUGUAGCGGUGAAAUGCUUAGAGAUCAUACAGAACACCGAUUGCGAAGGCAGCUUACCAAUCUAUAUCUGACGUUGAGGCACGAAAGCGUGGGGAGCAAACAGG
rnacentral:rRNA from 1 species